rnacentral:lncRNA from 1 species
GUGUGUGUGUUUUAAUUAAGACUACUGUACCUGUAAGACGGUUGGCUCCACAGGCUUGAUAUACAAACAAAUGAGUAGAAGAAUUCCAGGCUAGGAAUCCUCUUUUGUUCUCUUGGCUCUUCUUCUUUGUUGAGUUGAUUUUAUUUCAACUCAAUAACAUAUGUUUGGAUUCAGUCCCCUUUGUUCUGUUUUAAAUGGUCCUCCAGAUUAGAAAGCUACAUUUGAGUUUUCCCUCUUUGUCGUCCUCCCCGCCUCGGUAUGGAUUGUUCUUAGGAUAGAAUUCCAGUUUCUUGCGCUCUCUCUUUCUUUUCCUCAAUUCCUUUCUCUCUGUCCACUGUAGAAUUCUUGUCAACCUUUAGAUAAACUGUCCUCCCUUAAAUCUUUAACUCAGUUGAUACAUUUAAUAAGUCUAUCCCUACAUCUAGAGUUUGUUUAUCCUUUCUCCCUCUUUUCUAUUACAAUGCAGUUCUUUCUCUUCUCAAUAACUUCCAGAUGUGACUGUGUUGUUGCCGCUCUCUAUUCUCUCUCGCUCGCUCCCCCUCCUCCCCUCAUUAUUUUUGCCGUCCCUCCUCCAUCGCCUCUUCCUCCUCACCCCCAUCCCCUUACUCACAACAUAUCUCUCUCUCGCCCUCCCUUCCUCUCUCACACUCAUUCUCCCUCUCUAAACAAACAUUCUCUGUCAGAUUAUCCUAUUCAGCAGAGAGACAUUUAAGGCAUUCAUUUGCCAUAGAAACAGUUUUUUCUCUUCCUUUUCCUCUGAUUCUGUUGUAUGCACCCCCCUCCCCCCAACACACACACACACACACACACACUUCCUCCCCUUCCUGAACAAAUGGUCGAGGGAGGUUGAGGGGUGUAGUGGAGUUAUGACCAGGAUAAAAUAUAACAUUUUGGCUUACGUACGUAACAUGUCCUACCAAGGACAUUGCCUUUACAGUGAUCAAUCUUAGUAAAAGUGCUUGUUGUUAUAUCUAGGUUUCAUGUGUGAUCACAUCACAUGACAUUCCCUGAUUUAGC